rnacentral:rRNA from 1 species
GAUGAACGCUAGCGGAGGCUUAACACAUGCAAGGUCGAGGGGCAGCAUAGGGUAGCAAUACUCUGAUGGCGACCGGCAAACGGGUGAGUAACGCGUAUGCAACCUACCCUGUACAGGGGGAUAACCCGGAGAAAUUCGGACUAAUAUCCCGUAAUAAUAUCCGGAGGCAUCUUUGGAUAUUAAAGUUCCGACGGUACGGGAUGGGCAUGCGUAACAUUAGCUGGUUGGUAAGGUAACGGCUUACCAAGGCUAUGAUGUUUAGGGGUCCUGAGAGGGUGGUCCCCCACACUGGUACUGAGACACGGACCAGACUCCUACGGGAGGCAGCAGUGAGGAAUAUUGGUCAAUGGGCGCAAGCCUGAACCAGCCAUCCCGCGUGCAGGAAGACGGCCCUAUGGGUUGUAAACUGCUUUUCCAGGGAGAGAAACUUACGCACGUGUUGCGUGACUGACGGUACCCUGGGAAUAAGCAUCGGCUAACUCCGUG